CUACGGGUCGCACCAGUCGAGAAUCUUCCGCAAUGCGCGAAAGCGUGACGGAGCAAUGCCGCGUGGUGGAUGAAGGCCUUCGGGUUGUAAACACCUGUCACAUGGGACGAACUUUGACGGUACCAUGAGAGGAAGCCACGGCUAACUACGUGCCAGCAGCCGCGGUAAUACGUAGGUGGCGAGCGUUGUUCGGAUUUAUUGGGCGUAAAGGGUCCGCAGGGGGUUUGUUAAGUCUGAUGUGAAAUCCCGGGGCUCAACCCCGGAACUGCAUUGGAGACUGAUGAACUAGAGUAUCGGAGAGGUAAAUGGAAUUCCUGGUGUAGCGGUGGCAUGCGUAGAUAUCAGGAAGAACACCGAGAGCGAAGGCAAUUUACUGGACGAUUACUGACCCUCAGGGACGAAAGCGUGGGUAGCGAACAGGAUUAGAUACCCUAGUAGUC
rnacentral:rRNA from 1 species